GAUUAGCUUGUUGGCGGGGUAACGGCCCACCAAGGCAACGAUCAGUAGGGGUUCUGAGAGGAAGGUCCCCCUCAUUGGAACUGAGACACGGUCCAAACUCCUACGGGAGGCAGCAGUGAGGAAUAUUGGUCAAUGGGCGAGAGCCUGAACCAGCCAAGUAGCGUGCAGGAAGACGGCCCUAUGGGUUGUAAACUGCUUUUAUAAGGGAAUAAAGUGAGUCUCGUGAGACUUUUUGCAUGUACCUUAUGAAUAAGGACCGGCUAAUUCCGUGCCAGCAGCCGCGGUAAUACGGAAGGUCCGGGCGUUAUCCGGAUUUAUUGGGUUUAAAGGGAGCGUAGGCCGGAGAUUAAGCGUGUUGUGAAAUGUAGACGCUCAACGUCUGCACUGCAGCGCGAACUGGUUUCCUUGAGUACGCACAAAGUGGGCGGAAUUCGUGGUGUAGCGGUGAAAUGCUUAGAUAUCACGAAGAACUCCGAUUGCGAAGGCAGCUCACUGGAGCGCAACUGACGCUGAAGCUCGAAAGUGCGGGUAUCGAACAGGAUUAGAUACCCUGGUAGUCCGCACGGUAAACGAUGGAUGCCCGCUGUUGGUCUGAACAGGUCAGCGGCCAAGCGAAAGCAUUAAGCAUCCCACCUGGGGAGUACGCCGGCAACGGUGAAACUCAAAGGAAUUGACGGGGGCCCGCACAAGCGGAGGAACAUGUGGUUUAAUUCGAUGAUACGCGAGGAACCUUACCCGGGCUUGAAUUGCAGAGGAAGGAUUUGGAGACAAUGACGCCCUUCGGGGUCUCUGUGAAGGUGCUGCAUGGUUGUCGUCAGCUCGUGCCGUGAGGUGUCGGCUUAAGUGCCAUAACGAGCGCAACCCCUCUCCUUAGUUGCCAUCAGGUUAAGCUGGGCACUCUGGGGACACUGCCACCGUAAGGUGUGAGGAAGGUGGGGAUGACGUCAAAUCAGCACGGCCCUUACGUCCGGGGCUACACACGUGUUACAAUGGCAGGUACAGAGAGACGGUUGUACGUAAGUACGAUCAAAUCCUUAAAGCCUGUCUCAGUUCGGACUGGGGUCUGCAACCCGACCCCACGAAGCUGGAUUCGCUAGUAAUCGCGCAUCAGCCAUGGCGCGGUGAAUACGUUCCCGGGCCUUGUACACACCGCCCGUCAAGCCAUGAAAGCCGGGGGCGCCUAAAGUCCGUGACCGUAAGGAGCGGCCUAGGGCGAAACUGGUAAUUGGGGCUAAGUCGAAACAAGGUA
rnacentral:rRNA from 1 species